CCAUGUGAUCAGCAAUAAGAAACCUAGGGGAGAGAAUUAAGGGCUUCUAUCAAAGGUCAGAAGCCAAGGAUCCUAUUUCCACUAUGAUCAGAACAAACGCACAGUGCUGAAGACCUGCCAGCCUCAAACAACACCCUCUUUCUUCGCAUUAGAAAUGGAAACACGUCCUCUGCAGGAAUUUUCCACUUAAUAGCUCCUGCUUUCCUACCGGGGGCCUCAGUGCACCACCACUGCAAUGCUGUAUUUCUUUCCACUGCAGUUUGACAUUUUGCAGCCAGAACAACGAGCGGCAUUCACUCCAUCCUGCUUUUUGAAAAGCCUAUCUCUACAGGCACACAGAAAGCAGCCGGUGCAGCCAUCACCACAGGGAAAUGGCAGAAGUAUUUAAGCAUCAUUACAGGUCACAAAGGAUAUGGCAUUGUUUCAGAAUACUGAUCUUUUAUACGGUCUCAUUUCCUUGCUCCUCCAUUCUUCCACCCCAGCCCUUUUUACAUAUACACACACACUAAAGUGUCUGCCCCACUCUCCUCUUACAAGCCAGGCUCUUGUUCUACACUUGAUUAUAGUUGUUUGCCUUUGUGAAUUAUUUCCUAUGCAUAACGUUUGCAAACUGUACAUCAGGUUCUGAUAUCGCGAUGAGCAGAAAUGCAGAUUGCAGAUGAUCUCCGCAGUAAACAAGGAGCCUGCUUUAAAAUGCGCCGAGUGACCUGUCAGAAAGCAGCAACAUUUGCAAAAUGUUUACUGCUAAGAUGCAAUGAUGUGGUCUGAAGUGCAGAAAGCUCAGGACUGGAGCAAAAUGGGAUCUCAGAGAGUCGGUCAAGCACAACAUAGAGUGUUUUCUUUUCAGUAUAAUUAUUAUUUUUAAAGCUUGAGCUUUAUUAUAAAUAACUAAAAUGUAAUUUUCCUUUGCUGUUUCUGUGAAAUAUUUGUAUAUUCCCUUACAGAAAGAUAAAUGUCUGGAGGUAAGCAUCAUUUAUAGCUGGAAGGAAGGUUUCCCCUGUCUGCGUAGUGGUAGAGUCUCAGACAGCAAGGUCCCAGUAGGUCAGACUGGCACAUUGAAUUGCGUAUCAAAUGAAACUGGUAUUCUGGAAAAAGGGUGGAAAGAGGAAGAGGGGUGUUAGUAAGGAGGUUGUCCAGGCCAGGAGGGUGGGCCAUAGAAAGAAAACAAGGAAAAAAAUAGGAUUGAUGAUUUGCAGGACACCUAGGGUAUUUCUUUCAGGGGGUAUUACUUCCACUUUUAACCAGGAACAAGAGCUGGUAGGAAAAAAAAAGCGGCAGGAGCUGACAGCUUUGUGCUGAUCAAAGGGAAGCAGCACUGAAUGCCUGCCUUUGCUAGCUAUUUAUUAGAAAGAGAGAAGGGCUCCUUUGCCAUUCUACUUGGGAGAGAAGGGAUUAAAGAUCAAAAAAGAAGGGAACUGACCUGACUUCUUUGUUCAGAAAAUAUUUCUCUUUUUUCCUUUUUUUUUUCUUUUCCUCCUGCAUGCCAUGCCGUCCACUAUAAGACAAAACCCCCCUUUCUUUUCAGCGUUGCCGCCUUUCUUUACUCAUUGAGCAAAAUUUCUGGUGAUGAACAUUUCCUGCAGCAUCUUUUUUUUUUUCUUUUUUCUUUUUUUUUAUGUUAAAGGAGGCCCCCUUUGAGAAAGCUUAGUUAACUGUCUUUUAGCCUGAUUAACCUAGGAAAUAAAGUUUGAAUGCACUGCUGGGAUUCUAUUAGGGUUGUCAGUUCACGUAGAUAACAGCAAAAGGUGUUAAAAUGCACUUCACUGGUGCAAGUGAUCUCAUGUUGUAAAAAUGAUUAUCCCCAGCAGAACAGGGAAGGAUUAAGGGGCCACAUCUACAUCUGGGAGACUCUGUAAGUGUUAUAUUAGCAUUAAUACACGCAUUGAUCACACGAACAAAAUAAGCACGUAAGGAUGGUAGCAAAUGGCACAGUGCAUUAAACCUGCUCUUAAGACAGUGAAAUGGGAGCGUCUCUAUUCCUAGAACUGCAACAAAGCUGUUAAGCAGUUCCAAUAAAAUUGGGGAGUGCCUACUUGUAUGAUUGUGGAUCGUUGUGGAUUACCUGCCAUGUAAAAACUGUUAUCGAAACAAGACUCCCUCAUUGCAGAGAUUCUGAAGAAUUGUGGGGUAAAUUUGGUAUACUAUCUCUAAACUGACUAAACUACAAACUUCCCCUGAAUUUCAUCUCAGUGGCUCAAAUGCUCACCUAUAUUCUCCAAACGUGUGUUACACAAACUAGAAGAGAACUGCUGCUUCUCACUGUGGAUAAGAGUGAGGCGGGAUGACUGUGCAAGCAAGGAUGAGGUAGACAGUUAAAAAAAUACAAACAGUGUUGACCAGACAUUUGAAUAACUCAGCAGUGAAGUGAAUAGAACAAAUAGAACACAUAGAAUAAACAGAACAGCUGGAAGGGAACUUCAAAGAUGAUCUAGUCCAACUGCCUGAUCACUUUAGUGCUAAGUUAAAGCACUGAGAGCAUUAAAAGUGGGUAUAAAGUAUCAAAGGCAUUGUACAGGAAGGCAUGGGGCAUCAACCACCUCUCUAGGAACCCUGUUCUAGAGUGUGACCACCUUCCCAGUAAAGAAAUACUUAGUAAUGUCCCCUGAACCUCCCUGGUGCAGCUCUGUGCCAUUCCCACACAUCCUAUUGAAUUCAGCUGAAUGCUAAAUUCUGUUUCAAGUUAAGAGCAACCUCAAGUAUUAAAAUCAUUAAAAUCAUAUGUAACUAGA